rnacentral:rRNA from 1 species
GACGAACGCUGGCGGCGUGCUUAACACAUGCAAGUCGAACGGAAAGGCCCUGCUUGCAGGGUACUCGAGUGGCGAACGGGUGAGUAACACGUGGGUGAUCUGCCCUGCACUUCGGGAUAAGCCUGGGAAACUGGGUCUAAUACCGGAUAGGAGCCAUUUUUAGUGUGAUGGUUGGAAAGUUUUUUCGGUGUAGGAUGAGCUCGCGGCCUAUCAGCUUGUUGGUGGGGUAAUGGACUACCAAGGCGGCGACGGGUAGCCGGCCUGAGAGGGUGGACGGCCACAUUGGGACUGAGAUACGGCCCAGACUCCUACGGGAGGCAGAAGUGGGGAAGAUUGCACAAUGGGCGCAAGCCUGAUGCAGCGGCGCCGCGUGGGGGAUGACGGCCUUCGGGUUGUAAACUCCUUUCGCUAGGGACGAAGCUUUUUGUGACGGUACCUAGAUAAGAAGCACCGGCUAACUACGUG